ACGGCUUCUCUCGCUAUCGGUGCACGAGGGGCUUUGCUUCUCGUGAUUAAAAGGGAACCCGGUUGAAGUCCGGGACUGCCCCGCAGCGGUAAUCGGGAACGAACGUCACCAAAGAGCACUGGGCUCCGGCCUGGGAAGCGGUGGCAAGUAGGUCGGCUCAGAGCUUCGGCAAAGAGCCAACGCCCGUAAGUCCGAAAACCUGCCGAGAGUGCGUGUGUCGA
rnacentral:ncRNA from 1 species